rnacentral:rRNA from 1 species
UACGUAGGGGGCUAGCGUUGUCCGGAAUCAUUGGGCGUAAAGCGCGCGUAGGCGGCCAGAUAAGUCCGGUGUGAAAGUCACAGGCUCAACCUGUGAAUGCCGCUGGAAACUGUCUGGCUUGAGUCCGGAAAGGGGCGAGUGAAUUCCUGGGUGUAGCGGUGAAAUGCGCAGAUAUCAGGAGGAACACCUAUUGCGAAGGCAGCUCGCUGGGACGUAACUGACGCUGAGGCGCGAAAGCGUGGGUAGCGAACAGGGAAUAG